AUUGAACGCUGGCGGCAUGCUUUACACAUGCAAGUCGAACGGUAACAGGGAGCUUGCUCCGCUGACGAGUGGCGAACGGGUGAGUAAUGCGUCGGAACGUGCCGAGUAGUGGGGGAUAACGCAUCGAAAGGUGUGCUAAUACCGCAUACGUACUGAGGUAGAAAGUGGGGGACCUUCGGGCCUCACGCUAUUCGAGCGGCCGACGUCUGAUUAGCUAGUUGGUGAGGUAAAGGCUCACCAAGGCGACGAUCAGUAGCGGGUCUGAGAGGAUGGUCCGCCACACUGGGACUGGGACACGGCCCAGACUCCUACUGGAGGCAGCAGUGGGAAAUUUUGGACAAUGGGCGCAAGCCUGAUCCAGCCAUGCCGCGUGUCUGAAGAAGGCCUUCGGGUUGUAAAGGACUUUUGUCCGGGAGCAAAUGCUGGUGGCUAACAUCCACCGGAGCUGAGAGUACCGGAAGAAUAAGCACCGGCUAACUACGUGCCAGCAGCCGCCGUAAUAC
rnacentral:rRNA from 1 species